UACGGAGGGAGCUAGCGUUGUUCGGAAUUACUGGGCGUAAAGCGCACGUAGGCGGCUUUGUAAGUUAGAGGUGAAAGCCUGGGGCUCAACUCCAGAAUUGCCUUUAAGACUGCAUCGCUUGAAUCAUGGAGAGGCGAGUGGAAUUCCGAGUGUAGAGGUGAAAUUCGUAGAUAUUCGGAAGAACACCAGUGGCGAAGGCGGCUCACUGGCCCGGUACUGACGCUGAGGCACGAAAGCGUGGGGAGCAAACAGG
rnacentral:rRNA from 1 species